AUAUUGAGUGCAUAUCUAUGCAUGGUAGACUGAAUGUAAUUUAUUAUUGGUUGCAGGGGGGAAGAAAUUUUACACUACUGUUGAUACUUUGACUCAACGAGAGCCUUAUUCAAUGCUUGCUACAAUGUUCAGUGGUUGGCAUACUGUGUGUCAGGAUCCUGAAAUGGGACUUAUGGAGGAAAUCAAUGCUGUCUUAAGUAGAAAGUUAGAUUUCGAGGUGUUAAACUUUCUGGCCUUGAUCUUUCAAAACUGGAUUUGUCUUAUGUGGACUUCAUCCAUGCUUGUCUUAGAGAUGUAUUCUUCUCACGU